AAAUUGAAGAGUUUGAUCAUGGCUCAGAUUGAACGCUGGCGGCAGGCCUAACACAUGCAAGUCGAACGGUAACAGGAAUCAGCUUGCUGAUUCGCUGACGAGUGGCGGACGGGUGAGUAAUGUCUGGGAAACUGCCUGAUGGAGGGGGAUAACUACUGGAAACGGUAGCUAAUACCGCAUAAUGUCGCAAGACCAAAGAGGGGGACCUUCGGGCCUCUUGCCAUCGGAUGUGCCCAGAUGGGAUUAGCUAGUAGGUGGGGUAACGGCUCACCUAGGCGACGAUCCCUAGCUGGUCUGAGAGGAUGACCAGCCACACUGGAACUGAGACACGGUCCAGACUCCUACGGGAGGCAGCAGUGGGGAAUAUUGCACAAUGGGCGCAAGCCUGAUGCAGCCAUGCCGCGUGUAUGAAGAAGGCCUUCGGGUUGUAAAGUACUUUCAGCGGGGAGGAAGGGAGUAAAGUUAAUACCUUUACUCAUUGACGUUA
rnacentral:rRNA from 1 species